rnacentral:rRNA from 1 species
UACGAAGGGGCUAGCGUUGUUCGGAAUUACUGGGCGUAAAGCGUAUGCAGGCGGAUCGUUAAGUCGGGGUGAAAUCCCGAGGCUCAACCUCGGAACUGCCUUCGAUACUGGCGACCUUCGAGUCCGGGAGAGGUGAGUGGAACUCCGAGUGUAGAGGUGAAAUGCGCAGAGUAUCGGGAAGAACACCCGUGGCGAAGGCGGUUCUCUGGGACGGUACUGGACGCUGAGACGCGAAAGCGUGGGGAGCGAACAGG